UGAUGAUUGAGGCCAUGAGAAAGAUCCUAAAUAGGUCUAAGGCUCACCUGCCUUAUGGUAUAGCACUCACCCUGGUCUUUAGGAGGUUUGGAGUCUAUUUUGAGGGGGAGGCAAUACCAGAUUAUCACAUUCUGACAUCAUCAACCGUCACACACUGCACCGCAUGGGUUUUUUCAAAGACUGAUGGCAGUUGAUCGAAGGAUGUUGAGGAGAGAGCAGAGGAGGAGGGACUGUCUUCACCUCCUCGUGAUCACAGAGCAUCUCCUGAUAUUCAGU
rnacentral:lncRNA from 1 species